rnacentral:rRNA from 1 species
GACGAACGCUGGCGGCGUGCUUAACACAUGCAAGUCGAACGGAAAGGCCCUGCUUUUGUGGGGUGCUCGAGUGGCGAACGGGUGAGUAACACGUGAGUAACCUGCCCUUGACUUUGGGAUAACUUCAGGAAACUGGGGCUAAUACCGGAGAGGAGCUCCUGCUGCAUGGUGGGGGUUGGAAAGUUUCGGCGGUUGGGGAUGGACUCGCGGGUUAUCCGCUUGUUGGGGGGGUAGUGGCUUACCAAGGCUUUGACGGGUAGCCGGCCUGAGAGGGUGACCGGCCACAUUGGGCCUGAGAGACGGCGCAGAAUCGUACGGGAGGCAGCAGUGGGGAAUAUGGCACAAUGGGCGGAAGCCUGAUGCAGCAACGCCGCGUGCGGGAUGACGGCCUUCGGGUUGUAAACCGCUUUCGCCUGUGACGAAGCGUGAGUGACGGUAAUGGGUAAAGAAGCACCGGCUAACUACGUG